rnacentral:tRNA from 1 species
GUUUCUAUAGUUGAAUAACAACAUUGAUUUUUCAUGUCAAAGGUCUGGUUUAAUAUGUCAGUAGAAAUA